AAUGAACGUUAGCGGCGUGCCUGAUGCAUGCAAGUCGAACGAUCUGAUGAUUCGUAAGGACUGUCAGAUAGUGGCGAACGGCUGAGUAACGCGUAAGUGACCUACCUUCAAGUGGGGAAUAACCUGCCGAAAGGCAAGCUAAUACCGCAUGUGUUGAUAAGCGUAUAGCUUAUCAGUAAAGCCUUCGGGCGCUUGAUGAGGGGCUUGCGUCUGAUUAGUUUGUUGGUGGGGUAAUGGCCUACCAAGACGUUGAUCAGUAGCUGGUCUGAGAGGAUAACCAGCCAGACGGGGACUGAGACACGGCCCUGACUCCUACGGGAGGCAGCAGCAAGGAAUUUUGCGCAAUGGGCGAAAGCCUGACGCAGCGACGCCGCGUGGGGGAUGAAGGCCUUCGGGUCGUAAACCCCUUUUCUCGGGGAAGAAUAAUGACGGUACUCG
rnacentral:rRNA from 1 species